rnacentral:pre_miRNA from 1 species
GUACUACUCCCUCCGUCCUAAAAUUCUUGUCUUAGAUUUGUCUAAAUACAGAUGUAUCAAGUCACGUUUUAGUAUUAGAUACAUCCGUAUCUAAACAAAUCUAAGACAAGAAUUUUGGGACGGAGGGAGUACUAC